CGCGGGAUGGAGCAGUUGGCAGCUCGUCGGGCUCAUAACCCGAAGGUCACAGGUUCAAGUCCUGUUCCCGCUA
rfam:Clostridium lentocellum DSM 5427, complete genome.